rnacentral:lncRNA from 1 species
GGGGUUUCAAAUGAGGGGUCUAUUUUGCAAAAUGAUUGAGAGUUUAAGGUGUUGCAUGAAAUAAUUUGUGAUAUUUUCUAAGUUUUUAUCAAAGUAAAUGAGUCCUAGUUGCGUCAUGAACAACUUUGGUGAAGGAGUUUUCAUGGAAAACACCUAAAAGAGACUACGUUGCAUAAGUUGUAAAUUGGUUGAUAAAUAUGUGAAAUAGUGAGAAUUUGAAGUUGCUAUAAGAGUAAAAAUUGUUCAG